GCCAGAACAAUCGAACGGAUGAAUCCAGGAUGUCAUAGCCGGCUCACUGCAAUCCUCAUUAGGUGGAGUUCAUCCCAAGAACAAUCAUCCUGCUGAGGACACAGCUGGUCAUGGAGAGCGUUGCUGUCGGCUCACCUGUGGUCUCCACGAUGCCCUCCAGUAUCACCACGAUCUCAAACUGCUCAGUUUGCAUGGACCUCUGCGAGAGGUCGUAGAAGGGGCUUUUGGUGUCGAUCACGUGGCAGAUUGUGAGAGGCGAGACGAGGAAGAGCUGGUCUGCCCCGGUGCUGAAGCCCACGUCCAGCUCCAGCUGAUCCAGCGGCAGAAACUCACCUUCAGGCGUCUGGCGAGACUGAGGAGGCAUCAAGAAGAAAGAAAGAAAAAGCUGUUUAACGGGAACAAAGAAAGCGCUCAUAGAUGGCUGA